rnacentral:rRNA from 1 species
CCUACGGGUGGCAGCAGUGAGGAAUAUUGGUCAAUGGGCGCGAGCCUGAACCAGCCAAGUCGCGUGAGGGAUGAAUGUUCUAUGGAUCGUAAACCUCUUUUAUAAGGGAAUAAAGUGUGGGACGUGUCCUUUUUUGUAUGUACCUUAUGAAUAAGGAUCGGCUAACUCCGUGCCAGCAGCCGCGGUAAUACGGAGGAUCCGAGCGUUAUCCGGAUUUAUUGGGUUUAAAGGGUGCGUAGGUGGGCUGUUAAGUCAGCGGUGAAAGUCUGUGGCUCAACCAUAGAAUUGCAGUUGAUACUGGGAGGCUUGAGUACGUUUGAGGCAGGCGGAAUGCGUGGUGUAGCGGUGAAAUGCUGAGAUAUCACGAAGAACUCCGAUUGCGAAGGCAGCUUGCUAAGCCACGACUGACGUUGAUGCUCGAAAGCGUGGGUAUCAAACAGGAUUAGAUACCCGGGUAGUC